CCUACGGGAGGCAGCAGUCGGGAAUAUUGCGCAAUGGAGGAAACUCUGACGCAGUGACGCCGCGUAUAGGAAGAAGGUUUUCGGAUUGUAAACUAUUGUCGAUAGGGAAGAAAGAAGACUGUACCUAUCAAGAAGCCCCGGCUAACUACGUGCCAGCAGCCGCGGUAAUACGUAGGGGGCAAGCGUUAUCCGGAUUUACUGGGUGUAAAGGGAGCGUAGACGGUUACGCAAGUCUGGAGUGAAAGGCGGGGGCCCAACCCCCGGACUGCUUUGGAAACUGUAUAACUGGAGUGCAGGAGAGGUAA
rnacentral:rRNA from 1 species